CUACUGUUUUGUGCACAGUGGAGUAAUGGACUGUUGUCUGUGCGGUUAAGUGUCUUGUAGGUUUUGCAGGAAACCAUUUGAAAGGCUAGUGUUUAAUUUCCCUUUAUCUUUCCUGGUGGUGGCAGUUCCUGCAGCUAAUAAUGAUAUUCUAUGCAUUAUAAAAUUUUUUUAGUCUACUUGCUGAAACCAAGGUCAAUAUCCUGUUGGAAUGGGGUUGUUCAUUCCAUGGAUCUAAAUAUGAUAUUCUAUGCAUUAUGAAAUUUUUUUAGUCUACUUGCUGAAACCAAGGUCAAUAUCCUGUUGGAAUGGAGUUGUUCAUUCCAUGGAUCUAAAUAUGCCUUUCUCCAAGA
rnacentral:lncRNA from 1 species